ACGUUUCGAAAGGAACGCUAAUACCGCAUACGUCCUACGGGAGAAAGCAGGGGACCUUCGGGCCUUGCGCUAUCAGAUGAGCCUAGGUCGGAUUAGCUAGUUGGUGAGGUAAUGGCUCACCAAGGCGACGAUCCGUAACUGGUCUGAGAGGAUGAUCAGUCACACUGGAACUGAGACACGGUCCAGACUCCUACGGGAGGCAGCAGUGGGGAAUAUUGGACAAUGGGCGAAAGCCUGAUCCAGCCAUGCCGCGUGUGUGAAGAAGGUCUUCGGAUUGUAAAGCACUUUAAGUUGGGAGGAAGGGCAUUAACCUAAUACGUUAGUGUUUUGACGUUACCGACAGAAUAAGCACCGGCUAACUCUGUGCCAGCAGCCGCGGUAAUACAGAGGGUGCAAGCGUUAAUCGGAAUUACUGGGCGUAAAGCGCGCGUAGGUGGUUUGUUAAGUUGGAUGUGAAAUCCCCGGGCUCAACCUGG
rnacentral:rRNA from 1 species